GAUCUUGGCUCGGGAUGAACGCUAGCUACAGGCUUAACACAUGCAAGUCGAGGGGCAGCAUGAACUUAGCUUGCUAAGUUUGAUGGCGACCGGCGCACGGGUGAGUAACACGUAUCCAACCUGCCGAUGACUCGGGGAUAGCCUUUCGAAAGAAAGAUUAAUACCCGAUGGCAUAGUUCUUCCGCAUGGUAGAACUAUUAAAGAAUUUCGGUCAUCGAUGGGGAUGCGUUCCAUUAGGUUG
rnacentral:rRNA from 1 species